rnacentral:rRNA from 1 species
AAACCAGCACCUCAAGUGGUCAGGAUGAUUAUUGGGCCUAAAGCAUCCGUAGCCGGCUCUGUAAGUUUUCGGUUAAAUCUGUACGCUCAACGUACAGGCUGCUGGGAAUACUGCAGGGCUAGGGAGUGGGAGAGAUAGACGGUACUCGGGAGGAAGUGGUAAAAUGCUUUGAUCUCUCGAUGACCACCUGUGGCGAAGGCGGUCUAUCAGAACACGUCCGACGGUGAGGGAUGAAAGCUGGGGGAGCAAACCGGAUUAGAUACCCGGGUAGUCC